rnacentral:rRNA from 1 species
GGGGGGUGACGGAGAAAGCUAUGUCAGCUAUCCGUUGGUUUUGAUAGUUCAAUCAUGUAGGUUUUAUAUUUAGGCAAAUCCGAAUAUGAUUAACUGAGGUGAGAGUACGAGCUGAUUUAAGGUUGGUUAAGUGAUUUAUGCUACGCUUCCAAGAAAAACCUCUAAGAUUAUGUAUAAAAAACCUGUACUAUAAACCGACACAGGUGGACAAGUAGAGAAUACUAAGGCGUUGAGAGAACUCAGGUGAAGGAACCCGGCAAAAUGACACCGUAACUUCGGGAGAAGGUGUGCCAAUUUGGUUAGUUUAUUUUACUAAACAAAGCUAAAAUUGGUCUAAGAUAACCGGUGGCUGCGACUGUUUAAUAAAAACACAGCACUCUGCAAACUUGUAAAAGGAAGUAUAGGGUGUGACGCCUGCCCGGUGCCGGAAGGUUAAGUGAUUUGGUGUUUUAGCUGAUGAUCGAAGCCCCGGUAAACGGCGGCCGUAACUAUAACGGUCCUAAGGUAGCGAAAUUCCUUGUCGGGUAAGUUCCGACCUGCACGAAUGGCGUAACGAUGGCCACGCUGUCUCCACCUGAGACUCAGUGAAAUUGAAAUCGCUGUGAAGAUGCAGUGUUCCUGCGGCAAGACGGAAAGACCCCGUGCACCUUUACUACAGCUUUAUAUUGAGUUUUUAGCAACUUUGUAUAGCAUAGGUGGGAGACUUUGAAGUGUUAUCGCUAGGUAAUAUGGAGUCGUCAGUGUAAUACCACCCUGAUGUGCUGAAAAGUCUAAGUUUAUCUGUUAUCCAGAUAAAUGACAGUGUAUGGUGGGUAGUUUGACUGGGGCGGUCUCCUCCUAAAGAGUAACGGAGGAGCGCGAAGGUACCCUCAGCAUGGUCGGAAAUCAUGUUUUGGGUGCAAAAGCAUAAGGGUGCUUGACUGUGAGACACACAAGUCGAACAGGAACGAAAGUUGGUUUUAGUGAUCCGGUGGUUCUGUAUGGAAGGGCCAUCGCUCAACGGAUAGAAGGUACGCCGGGGAUAACAGGCUGAUACCCCCCAAGAGUUCACAUCGACGGGGGUGUUUGGCACCUCGAUGUCGGCUCAUCACAUCCUGGGGUUGAAGAAGAUCCCAAGGGUAUGGCUGUUCGCCAUUUAAAGUGGUACGCGAGCUGGGUUUAGAACGUCGUGAGACAGUUCGGUCCCUAUCUGCCGUGGGCGUUGGUAAAUUGAGAGGAUCUGCUCCUAGUACGACAGGACCGGAGUGGACGUACCGAUGGUGUUUCGGUUGUAAUGCCAAUUGCAUAGCCGAGUAGCUAAGUACGGAAAGGAUAACCGCUGAAAGCAUAUAAGUGGGAAACCAACCUCAAGAUUAAUUUUCCCUAGGAUUAAAUCCUACUAAAGGUCUGUCGAAGAUUACGACGUUGAUAGGCAAAGUGUGUAAGCAUUGUAAGAUGUUGAGCUAAUUUGU